UCCAUUGGAACAUGACCUUGACGAGAGUUUGGUUCACCCCCCUUCUGCCCAAUAUUCCAGCUACAUGAACUUUAAUAGGAGCAUAUUGGGCAGUUUUAGUGUGCCAAGAGAAACACAUGAAACACAGAGACACCCAAAAUAAAACCUGACAUUCCAACACCUUUGAAUUUGAACUCACUUGGGAAAGACCUCUCUAUAUUUACAGAACCCCACACUACAAAUAGCUUCUCAAGUUCAGAUUAUGUAUGGAUUUAAACAGAGUAAAGGGGAAUAUAGAAUUUAUGCACAAACGCAAGCUCGUAAAAAACAAGACUUCGUUAAAAUGGAAUGAAAACAGUUUAUCCUGGACGUUGCAAGCAUUAGAGCAACAGUUUUAAUAACAGUUUGGGCUCAGAAACAGCUGCUCCAUCUAUAACAAUAAAGUUAAAGUGUGCCAAAAUAAGAGUGGGGAUCCAAAGUGCUGUGGGAAAGCCAGUAAAUGUUAUGUGUUUUGAAAAUGGUUCCGAUAAUCUUUAUCCUAAUCCCUUAAUUGGGAGUCAAUGUGGUCUCCAGUGAACAUACAAAGCCGCUGGCUGGAAGAAACUCGGGACACAGAGAAGCUCUUAAAGGGGACCAUCUACACCUGGGCGAUGAGCGCGCUUUUCACUACUCUGAGGAGGCUUUCAAGCAAGUCCUUGGCUGUGAAAGUUCCCAUGUUAAAAGCACUACCUAUUAAGGUACAUCCGAAAGAGAUGUAUUUCCGCGCAGUGUUUGAAGAUUUCCAUUUGCAUGAAAAAAGGGUCUCUGCAAAACUGUAACUUGUGAACUGAUCAAAAGCCAGAGGCCAUUCUUGAGUUGAAUGGCUUUCCCCCUUUGACACGAAAGAGGCUCUCUUGAGGCGCCUUCGCGGCGGUGGCCUUGGAGGUUAGGAAAAUGUAGCCCCUCAGACCAUACGGGACUAUUCUCUGGAGUCUGGACAACACUUGAGUCUGCAGCAAUAGAAAAGAGCCGGUUUGCCGCUGUGGAUCAGUACUUCAACGGGCCUCACUAACAUCUAACAUUGCAUAAGAGGGCUUUUACUAUUCCUAUGGCCUUUCAUGUUGAGAGGACUGUAUGUGUGCCUGUGUGUGUGUGUGAAUGUGUGCAUAUGUGUGCAUAUACGAAUGUCUAUGCAUGCCGAUGGCCAUGUUGUUUUUAACAUGAUAAUAUUAUUUCAAAAAUACAAUAAAUUGCACAGCAAAUACGCUAUUUCCAAUUUAAAAACUAUAAUUUUAAGAUUGCUUAUGUCAGAAAAGUCAUGGUUAAACAUGGUUAAAUCUCUUGUUAGGAGCUCUGAAACAUAAGAAAGUAUAGCCAUGCAAAGCAAAAUAAAUGUCUUAAUAGGGGUCAUGCAGGUCAUACACACAAAUGCACACACAUCUUUGGCUGAAUGUAUAUUGGUUCAGUCCUCUCUUGCAAACAUCUUCAAAGUGGAAAGAGGAGCGAUAAGAAGCUGGAGCAUUUGUUAUUCUUUCCAGGUUGACUGAAUGUGUUUUGACUAGAUGCUUAGCUUGGGAGGAGAACUGUGGAGCUGCUGAGCUCUGUCACGGCUGGGAGAAGGCUUCACAACAGUGAGCUGUCCACUGAGCAGCGAACCCGCCGAUCUGAUGGGUACCUGAGGCUCCAUGAUUGUCAGGGCACUCCAGCCACAACGUACAGACUCUUCCUACUCCUCCACUAUUCUCCUGCUCUGUGACUCAGCUGGUUUCACUUAGAGAACACGGAGAGAGUGGGUCACAGGGUCAUACCAUGACCUCAUCAAAUUAGCCCCAACCGAGUGAGGUGUUUAGCACGAGUUAAAACAAGUAAUCUGAAGGGCAUUAAAUGCAAAUGCGACGACCAUAUGCCCACUUCAAACACGAUAGCUCCUAUCCAGCCGCUCUCCCCCUCUUGCCCUCUCACAUACACACAGCAGAACCAUUCACGUCUCGCAGAGUGGGGGGCUGUUAAGAUGACAAUGGGUUUCUGUCAUGCCGACCAGGUGCAACACAUUUCAACCGCUGUUCUGAGCUGUUUGAUAUCUGUUAAAGGAACAUUUGCAACAAAAAGUCUGCAACUGAAAUACUCUUUGAAAAUAGAUAUCUCUUACAUGUUAUCUGCAUCAAUAUCAUGUUUCUUCUUGACCUUACACUUGGAAUAUGGAAAUAAAGGAGAGAUGCUUACAAAGGUUAUCCAGUAGUUCAGGGAGGAGAGAGGAGAAAAAAAAAGAGAAAAAGGCAGGGUAAUACUUCGGCUGUGCUUCAUAAACGCUACGCCAUGUGCCCCUGUUAGUGGGAGUGAGGGUCUGGUCAGGUUGUGGAGAUUAUGGGCGAAGACUGAUUUUGCCCCCUCGGGCGCUGGCCGGGCUGGGAACAUGUGGCAGCUCAUAUGUGCUAAUAAACACCUGUGGAGAGGGAGGAGAGGGAGCAGAAAACCCCCGCCGGGCUCUGCAGCCGUGCCACCUGCACAGACCUCCACUGUGCCUCUGACUCAGUGAGGCUGGGAAACCUGAUGAACAUAACUACCACUCAGACACAGCUCUGGAAAACUGGAAACUUAGAAAACAAUGAACUGCUGCUACAAACAAACCACAAUUGGCGAAGAAUACACUUAAAGCAUCUAUGGUCAAAACAUCUGGAAGAGUCUAUUUGAAGAUGGAGUAUGUGGAGAUUACACAGUGUAAGUGGUGUGUCCUGGAGAAGAAGAAGAACAAGAGAGAUGCUGAAAGCGCAGCAGUGUGUCUGACCUGAGGGAAGAAUGAUUCCUGGGAACAAUGACCGGACGCUCAGCAGAUACUAGUUGUAGGACUCUUUCCUGGCUUUCAGCACAGUGAAAACAAAGGUCAUCUAUUUGGGCAUUUAUUUCCCAAAGAUGGAGGGCUGUUAUCUUUUCUUUCAUGACCUUCCUGACAUUAUGCUGCAAAGGAAACAUUUAGAAUAAUAUUUCACCUACUUUGCAUCAAUUUUACAGCAACUGCAACGUAAUUAUGCACCUGUAACUUUUGUGAAAUGUCAAUCUGUCUGUCAUACUGCACAAAUUAAUAUCCUUUAACAAUCUAUAAACAUGCACUCUAUUUAGCAACAGAAGAGCAAAAACACUGAUAGUUUAUACUAAAUUGCUGUUUUCUAAUUUUAAUAAACUGAUUAAAGAUACAUUUUUAAUGUAAAUAUUAGGGAUGCAUGAUGAUAUCAGUAUCAUCAUUGGUAGAUGAUAAAUGCUAUGAAAUAAGAUAUGAUCAUAACCAUUGACAAGCAGAUAAUGCCUGCAAGGCUAAGGGCUUGAAGUUUUGUUUGAAAAUUGUACAUAAAAAUAAAUAAUAUGGACUGUUUUACAUGUAAGUUGAUUUCUUAUUUUGCUCAGUGAAUUUGUACAUCUGAAAAGCAUUGUUUUUUGUCUGUACCUGCAAGAGGGCCAUGACAAUAGGAACAGGCCUUAUAAUAUGAUAAUUAUUAAUAUAUAUAUCAAUACAUAAUUCCACUAUAGGAGAGACCUGAUGUUCUCUGCAGUUAGUUGGAAAAGUAUGUGCACAUAUUGAUAUCGGCCAAACUGAAACGGAAAGUCACAUAGCAGCAAAAAUUUUAUAUAUUGCUUCCCUAAUAAAUAUCAUUUACUCAAAUCUGAUGGUACAGCUACAUUUUUGUUACAUCAGUUUUAGCAAAGCAAACAUAUAUUUACAGUGUAGAAAAUAUGAUCACUGCUCUUUAAAAACAACUAGACUGCAUGUAAAAUUUUUACUAAAUUUAUAAACAGUCAAGUUGAACUGCUAGUCAUGAACAUAUGAAUCUUCAGGAUCUGUGCUGUAUCACAUAUGUAGAAUGUAUUUACAGUAAAUCAGAUUGAAAUUUCACUACCAGAUUUCAGUGAUUUUUGGCAUAAAUUUUGCGUAAUGGUGCAAAUCCACAUUCGCUACAGUGACAAAAACUUGGAAUUAUAAAGCACCUAACCUGUUGGCACAUAUGCCUCAUACACAUUUCAUCCAAUAUUCAACAUAUUUCACAUGUAGCUAGAGGUUUUUUUUUAAUUAAUAUUAUUAUUUUAAAUAAAUGACAAUCAAUAAAUAUUAGAUGAGACAUACACAAAUUAAAUCUGAAAAAUCUUGAAAAGAAAUCUGAGCCAGUGUUGACCGACUACUUACAUGAUAGGAUUUAGUUCCACUUUAAGAUCCACAUUCACAUAUUACAAAUAAACAUUUUCCACAAUCAAAAUUGCAUGGGCUUUCUAAAUACGUUCUAUUUUUAGAUAUUGAUUUUUAUAAUUUUAUAUUAUGUUUUCUUCUCAUUUUGUAAAUACUAAAAACAACUAACAUUUAAAUCCGAUUGUUUUCACCUCAUGCAUUCAUUUAAACUUAGUUGCCAUUACUGCAGUCUUGUGCUUUAACUAAUGUACUUACAGAAAUUUUAAAAGUUUAAUCUUGAUAUGCAUCUUUAUACACAAGCCUGACUUUACUACACUGUGUUAAAUGUAUAUAUGUGUGUAGAAGAAAAUGUUAAUUUAAGACUUAAUACAGGCAAAUUGCUAUAGAAGUGUGCAGACUGAGUAGCUGUGUGGGAUGUUUAUCCUUGUAGAAACUGGUAAUAAGAUGAUUGCAUUCUGCUCCAAGCUUUGAAGACUGGUAAACGUAAUGAUACAACCCACUCAUUUUUUUUCUGUAGAGCCAAAGUAAUACUCCUUUUUAUUUGUGUGUUUUUGAAUGUGCUUUCUGUGCAAAUGCAGUAUUUGUUGUACAUGUAAAUAUAUCACUGUUAAGUGACUGGUAAGAUAUUGGCAAUGCAAAUGUGGGUUCACUAUACAUUUUACCUUCCUAGAAAAAUGAUAAUUUGCGAAGACUCUUUAUUCAUUACUUUAAAAUACUUUAAAGCUUUCCCCUGUAAAGUGCAGUUGCAUUUUUAAUUUAACUGGAAAAUCUUCAGCAUAUGGAUUAAAAAAAUCUAUAUUUUCACAUUUUCAACAAAUAAAACUGCAUUGACAUGAAGUGCAAAUGAACAACAUACCUAUCCCAGCAUUUUCCUCUUUAAAUAUCCAACAGGUUGCGCUGUAGUAAAACUGGACCAAAAAAAUCCAUGCACACCAGGAGACACACAACAUAAUGCAUGCACCAUGUGCUACAAAACCACCAAUUUCUUUUGGACAUUUGCAAACCCUCUACAUGGAUUAUACAAAGAUAUAAGGAGUUUGAAAUGGCCUAACCUCUGUUCUGCCAUUCCCAAUUCAUUCAGAGCUGACAGUUUUCCUUUUCUCUGUGAACAUGCUCUUAUCAUUAGCAUGCCUCUGAACUUUGCCUCACAAUGUCU